rnacentral:snoRNA from 1 species
AUGUGCGUAGCGGGCAGCGCCUGAGGGUUGAUGAUCUCAUCUCGAGGCGA